rnacentral:rRNA from 1 species
GAUGAACGCUAGCGGCAGGCUUAACACAUGCAAGUCGAGGGGCAUCGGGAGGGAAGCUUGCUUUCCUUGCCGGCGACCGGCGCACGGGUGAGUAACACGUAUGCAACCUGCCCUCUUCAGGGGGACAACCUUCCGAAAGGGAGGCUAAUCCCGCGUAUAUCGGUUUCGGGCAUCCGAGAUCGAGGAAAGAUUCAUCGGAAGAGGAUGGGCAUGCGGCGCAUUAGCUUGACGGCGGGGUAACGGCCCACCGUGGCGACGAUGCGUAGGGGUUCUGAGAGGAAGGUCCCCCACACUGGUACUGAGACACGGACCAGACUCCUACGGGAGGCAGCAGUGAGGAAUAUUGGUCAAUGGGAGAGAUCCUGAACCAGCCAAGCCGCGUGAGGGAAGACGGCCCUAUGGGUUGUAAACCUCUUUUGUCGGAGAACAAAACCCGGGACGUGUCCCGGACUGCGUGUAUCCGAAGAAAAAGCAUCGGCUAACUCCGUGCCAGCAGCCGCGGUAAUACGGAGGAUGCGAGCGUUAUCCGGAUUUAUUGGGUUUAAAGGGUGCGUAGGCGGUCCGUUAAGUCAGCGGUAAAAUUGCGGGGCUCAACCCCGUCGAGCCGUUGAAACUGGCAGACUUGAGUUGGCGAGAAGUACGCGGAAUGCGCGGUGUAGCGGCGAAAUGCAUAGAUAUCGCGCAGAACUCCGAUUGCGAAGGCAGCGUACCGGCGCCAGACUGACGCUGAGGCACGAAAGCGUGGGGAUCGAACAGGAUUAGAUACCCUGGUAGUCCACGCAGUAAACGAUGAAUGCUGGUUGUCCGGGUCGAAUGAGAUCUGGGCGGCGAAGCGAAAGCGAUAAGCAUUCCACCUGGGGAGUACGCCGGCAACGGUGAAACUCAAAGGAAUUGACGGGGGCCCGCACAAGCGGAGGAACAUGUGGUUUAAUUCGAUGAUACGCGAGGAACCUUACCCGGGCUCAAACGGGAGCGGAAUGGACCAGAGACGGUUCAGCCUACGGGCCGCUUCCGAGGUGCUGCAUGGUUGUCGUCGGCUCGUGCCGUGAGGUGUCGGCUUAAGUGCCAUAACGAGCGCAACCCCCGCCGGCAGUUGCUAACGGGCAAUGCCGAGGACUCUGCCGGGACUGCCGCCGCAAGGCGAGAGGAAGGCGGGGAUGACGUCAAACCAGCACGGCCCUUACGUCCGGGGCGACACACGUGUUACAAUGGGCGGUACAGCGGGAAGCCAGGCGGCGACGCCGAGCGGAACCCGAAAGCCGUUCUCAGUUCGGAUCGGAGUCUGCAACCCGACUCCGUGAAGCUGGAUUCGCUAGUAAUCGCGCAUCAGCCAUGGCGCGGUGAAUACGUUCCCGGGCCU